AGAGGCGAUGAAGGACGUGCUAAUCUGCGAUAAGCGUCGGUAAGGUGAUAUGAACCGUUAUAACCGGCGAUUUCCGAAUGGGGAAACCCAGUGUGUUUCGACACACUAUCAUUAACUGAAUCCAUAGGUUAAUGAGGCGAACCGGGGGAACUGAAACAUCUAAGUACCCCGAGGAAAAGAAAUCAACCGAGAUUCCCCCAGUAGCGGCGAGCGAACGGGGAGCAGCCCAGAGCCUGAAUCAGUGUGUGUGUUAGUGGAAGCGUCUGGAAAGGCGUGCGAUACAGGGUGACAGCCCCGUACACAAAAAUGCACAUGCUGUGAGCUCGAUGAGUAGGGCGGGACACGUGGUAUCCUGUCUGAAUAUGGGGGGACCAUCCUCCAAGGCUAAAUACUCCUGACUGACCGAUAGUGAACCAGUACCGUGAGGGAAAGGCGAAAAGAACCCCGGCGAGGGGAGUGAAAAAGAACCUGAAACCGUGUACGUACAAGCAGUGGGAGCACGCUUAGGCGUGUGACUGCGUACCUUUUGUAUAAUGGGUCAGCGACUUAUAUUCUGUAGCAAGGUUAACCGAAUAGGGGAGCCGAAGGGAAACCGAGUCUUAACUGGGCGUUAAGUUGCAGGGUAUAGACCCGAAACCCGGUGAUCUAGCCAUGGGCAGGUUGAAGGUUGGGUAACACUAACUGGAGGACCGAACCGACUAAUGUUGAAAAAUUAGCGGAUGACUUGUGGCUGGGGGUGAAAGGCCAAUCAAACCGGGAGAUAGCUGGUUCUCCCCGAAAGCUAUUUAGGUAGCGCCUCGUGAAUUCAUCUCCGGGGGUAGAGCACUGUUUCGGCAAGGGGGUCAUCCCGACUUACCAACCCGAUGCAAACUGCGAAUACCGGAGAAUGUUAUCACGGGAGACACACGGCGGGUGCUAACGUCCGUCGUGAAGAGGGAAACAACCCAGACCGCCAGCUAAGGUCCCAAAGUCAUGGUUAAGUGGGAAACGAUGUGGGAAGGCCCAGACAGCCAGGAUGUUGGCUUAGAAGCAGCCAUCAUUUAAAGAAAGCGUAAUAGCUCACUGGUCGAGUCGGCCUGCGCGGAAGAUGUAACGGGGCUAAACCAUGCACCGAAGCUGCGGCAGCGACACUAUGUGUUGUUGGGUAGGGGAGCGUUCUGUAAGCCUGUGAAGGUGUGCUGUGAGGCAUGCUGGAGGUAUCAGAAGUGCGAAUGCUGACAUAAGUAACGAUAAAGCGGGUGAAAAGCCCGCUCGCCGGAAGACCAAGGGUUCCUGUCCAACGUUAAUCGGGGCAGGGUGAGUCGACCCCUAAGGCGAGGCCGAAAGGCGUAGUCGAUGGGAAACAGGUUAAUAUUCCUGUACUUGGUGUUACUGCGAAGGGGGGACGGAGAAGGCUAUGUUGGCCGGGCGACGGUUGUCCCGGUUUAAGCGUGUAGGCUGGUUUUCCAGGCAAAUCCGGAAAAUCAAGGCUGAGGCGUGAUGACGAGGCACUACGGUGCUGAAGCAACAAAUGCCCUGCUUCCAGGAAAAGCCUCUAAGCAUCAGGUAACAUCAAAUCGUACCCCAAACCGACACAGGUGGUCAGGUAGAGAAUACCAAGGCGCUUGAGAGAACUCGGGUGAAGGAACUAGGCAAAAUGGUGCCGUAACUUCGGGAGAAGGCACGCUGAUAUGUAGGUGAAGCGACUUGCUCGUGGAGCUGAAAUCAGUCGAAGAUACCAGCUGGCUGCAACUGUUUAUUAAAAACACAGCACUGUGCAAACACGAAAGUGGACGUAUACGGUGUGACGCCUGCCCGGUGCCGGAAGGUUAAUUGAUGGGGUUAGCCGCAAGGCGAAGCUCUUGAUCGAAGCCCCGGUAAACGGCGGCCGUAACUAUAACGGUCCUAAGGUAGCGAAAUUCCUUGUCGGGUAAGUUCCGACCUGCACGAAUGGCGUAAUGAUGGCCAGGCUGUCUCCACCCGAGACUCAGUGAAAUUGAACUCGCUGUGAAGAUGCAGUGUACCCGCGGCAAGACGGAAAGACCCCGUGAACCUUUACUAUAGCUUGACACUGAACAUUGAGCCUUGAUGUGUAGGAUAGGUGGGAGGCUUUGAAGUGUGGACGCCAGUCUGCAUGGAGCCGACCUUGAAAUACCACCCUUUAAUGUUUGAUGUUCUAACGUUGACCCGUAAUCCGGGUUGCGGACAGUGUCUGGUGGGUAGUUUGACUGGGGCGGUCUCCUCCUAAAGAGUAACGGAGGAGCACGAAGGUUGGCUAAUCCUGGUCGGACAUCAGGAGGUUAGUGCAAUGGCAUAAGCCAGCUUGACUGCGAGCGUGACGGCGCGAGCAGGUGCGAAAGCAGGUCAUAGUGAUCCGGUGGUUCUGAAUGGAAGGGCCAUCGCUCAACGGAUAAAAGGUACUCCGGGGAUAACAGGCUGAUACCGCCCAAGAGUUCAUAUCGACGGCGGUGUUUGGCACCUCGAUGUCGGCUCAUCACAUCCUGGGGCUGAAGUAGGUCCCAAGGGUAUGGCUGUUCGCCAUUUAAAGUGGUACGCGAGCUGGGUUUAGAACGUCGUGAGACAGUUCGGUCCCUAUCUGCCGUGGGCGCUGGAGAACUGAGGGGGGCUGCUCCUAGUACGAGAGGACCGGAGUGGACGCAUCACUGGUGUUCGGGUUGUCAUGCCAAUGGCACUGCCCGGUAGCUAAAUGCGGAAGAGAUAAGUGCUGAAAGCAUCUAAGCACGAAACUUGCCCCGAGAUGAGUUCUCCCUGACUCCUUGAGAGUCCUGAAGGAACGUUGAAGACGACGACGUUGAUAGGCCGGGUGUGUAAGCGCAGCGAUGCGUUGAGCUAACCGGUACUAAUGAACCGUGAGGCUUAACCUUACAACGCCGAAGGUGUUUUGGCGGAUUGAGAGAAGAUUUUC
rnacentral:rRNA from 1 species